UACGUAGGUGGCAAGCGUUGUCCGGAUUUACUGGGCGUAAAGGGCGUGCAGGCGGUUUGUUAAGUGCAGGGUGAAAGCUCCCGGCUCAACUGGGAGAGGUCCUUGCAUACUGGCAAACUCGAGGGAGGCAGAGGAAAGUGGAAUUCCCGGUGUAGUGGUGAUAUGCGUAGAUAUCGGGAGGAACACCAGUGGCGAAGGCGGGCACCUGGGCCGACACUGACGCUGAGGCGCGAAAGCUAGGGGAGCAAACAGG
rnacentral:rRNA from 1 species